CAACUUUCAACAACGGAUCUCUUGGCUCUCGCAUCGAUGAAGAACGCAGUGAAAUGCGAUAAGUAAUGUGAAUUGCAGAAUUCAGUGAAUCAUCGAGUCUUUGAACGCACCUUGCGCCCCUUGGUAUUCCGAGGGGCACACCUGUUUGAGUGUCGUG
rnacentral:rRNA from 1 species